AACGAACGCUGGCGGCAUGCCUAACACAUGCAAGUCGAACGAGACCUUCGGGUCUAGUGGCGCACGGGUGCGUAACGCGUGGGAACCUGCCCUUAGGUUCGGAAUAACUCCCCGAAAGGGGUGCUAAUACCGGAUAAUGUCUUCGGACCAAAGAUUUAUCGCCUUUGGAUGGGCCCGCGUUGGAUUAGCUAGUUGGUAGGGUAAAAGCCUACCAAGGCGACGAUCCAUAGCUGGUCUGAGAGGAUGAUCAGCCACACUGGGACUGAGACCCGGCCCAGACUCCUACGGGAGGGUGCAGUGGGGUACACUGGACAAUGGGCGAAGGUCUGAUCCAGCAGUGCCGCGUGAGUGAUGCAGGCGUUAGGGUUGUAAAGCCCUUUGACCCGGGAUGUGUAUGACAGUACCGGGAGAAUAAGCCCCGGCUAACUCCGUG
rnacentral:rRNA from 1 species